UUUUGUAGAAUGAACCGGCGAGUUACGAUUUGAUGCAAGGUUAAGCAGUAAAUGUGGAGCCGUAGCGAAAGCGAGUCUGAAUAGGGCGUUUAGUAUUUGGUCGUAGACCCGAAACCAGGUGAUCUACCCUUGGUCAGGUUGAAGUUCAGGUAACACUGAAUGGAGGACCGAACCGACUUACGUUGAAAAGUGAGCGGAUGAACUGAGGGUAGCGGAGAAAUUCCAAUCGAACCUGGAGAUAGCUGGUUCUCUCCGAAAUAGCUUUAGGGCUAGCCUCAAGUGAUGAUUAUUGGAGGUAGAGCACUGUUUGGACGAGGGGCCCCUCUCGGGUUACCGAAUUCAGACAAACUCCGAAUGCCAAUUAAUUUAACUUGGGAGUCAGAACAUGGGUGAUAAGGUCCGUGUUCGAAAGGGAAACAGCCCAGACCACCAGCUAAGGUCCCAAAAUAUAUGUUAAGUGGAAAAGGAUGUGGCGUUGCCCAGACAACUAGGAUGUUGGCUUAGAAGCAGCCAUCAUUUAAAGAGUGCGUAAUAGCUCACUAGUCGAGUGACACUGCGCCGAAAAUGUACCGGGGCUAAACAUAUUACCGAAGCUGUGGAUUGUCCUUUGGACAAUGGUAGGAGAGCGUUCUAAGGGCGUUGAAGCAUGAUCGUAAGGACAUGUGGAGCGCUUAGAAGUGAGAAUGCCGGUGUGAGUAGCGAAAGACGGGUGAGAAUCCCGUCCACCGAUUGACUAAGGUUUCCAGAGGAAGGCUCGUCCGCUCUGGGUUAGUCGGGUCCUAAGCUGAGGCCGACAGGCGUAGGCGAUGGAUAACAGGUUGAUAUUCCUGUACCACCUAUAAUCGUUUUAAUCGAUGGGGGGACGCAGUAGGAUAGGCGAAGCGUGCGAUUGGAUUGCACGUCUAAGCAGUAAGGCUGAGUAUUAGGCAAAUCCGGUACUC
rnacentral:rRNA from 1 species